rnacentral:rRNA from 1 species
UGGGGAAUAUUGGACAAUGGGGGGAACCCUGAUCCAGCCAUGCCGCGUGUGUGAAGAAGGCCUUAUGGUUGUAAAGCACUUUAAGCGAGGAGGAGGCUCUUUUGGUUAAUACCCAAGAUGAGUGGACGUUACUCGCAGAAUAAGCACCGGCUAACUCUGUGCCAGCAGCCGCGGUAAUACAGAGGGUGCGAGCGUUAAUCGGAUUUACUGGGCGUAAAGCGUGCGUAGGCGGCUUUUUAAGUCGGAUGUGAAAUCCCCGAGCUUAACUUGGGAAAUGCAUUCGAUACUGGGAAGCUAGAGUAUGGGAGAGGAUGGUAGAAUUCCAGGUGUAGCGGUGAAAUGCGUAGAGAUCUGGAGGAAUACCGAUGGCGAAGGCAGCCAUCUGGCCUAAUACUGACGCUGAGGUACGAAAGCAUGGGGAGCAAACAGG